rnacentral:rRNA from 1 species
UACGAGGGGGCGAGCGUUGUUCGGAAUUAUUGGGCGUAAAGGGUGCGUAGGCGGUUCCGCAAGUCCUGUGUGAAAUCUUCGGGCUCAACUCGAAGUCUGCACGGGAAACUGCGGGGCUUGAGUGUGGGAGAGGUGAGUGGAAUUCCCGGUGUAGCGGUGAAAUGCGUAGAUAUCAGGAGGAACACCGGUGGCGAAGGCGGGUCUCUGGGCCGUAACUGACGCUGAGGAGCGAAAGCGUGGGGAGCGAACAGG